rnacentral:rRNA from 1 species
UACGUAGGGUGCAAGCGUUGUCCGGAAUUAUUGGGCGUAAAGAGCUCGUAGGCGGUUUGUCGCGUCUGCUGUGAAAACCUGAGGCUCAACCUCGGGCCUGCAGUGGGUACGGGCAGACUAGAGUGCGGUAGGGGAGAUUGGAAUUCCUGGUGUAGCGGUGGAAUGCGCAGAUAUCAGGAGGAACACCAAUGGCGAAGGCAGAUCUCUGGGCCGUAACUGACGCUGGGGAGCGAAAGCAUGGGGAGCGAACAGG